rnacentral:lncRNA from 13 species
AAGUAUCAACUUUAAUUGGAACAAAGAAAUGAAGAGGUUCUGGAUUAUCCACCUGCAUCAGUUGCUGAUGUUAUCGAAAGAUAGAUAAAUGAUACGAACAAUAGCAAUGACGAUAUGUAUGUAAAAGUGGUGUUGAAGAAUCUAGAGAUGAAACAGCAAUAGAAGCUAGGAUGAGCGAGACACAUAUAGCUGCACACUUACAGCUUUUUAUGUAGCUUUAACCGACAAUUAUUGAUUAGUGCCAUUACACCGACGGUUGUCGGUAAGCAUGUACAGAAUAACGGGUUCUACAUAAGUUGCAGACACUCCACCGCCAAACGGAAUAUUUUUGCGAUUUAUUAUAGAAUGCCCACGAGGAUCCUGGAUAUGUAUUCUGUAAACGUUUUUUGUUCUUAACGAAAAUGUCGUUACACAGCUUUUUUGCUAUGUAAAAUAUUUACGCGACACCGACAUCGUUCCAACUAUCGUUAAGAACAAAAAGCGUGUACAGAAUACAUAUCUUGUACAUGCUUUUUCUUAAUAAUCAUAGUUGUCGAUGUCGUGGUGUAGAUAUUUUAUAUGAUAAAAAGCUGCGCAACGAUAAGGUAACGAUACUAACACUAUCGUUAAGAGUUUCAGAAUUCUGCUGCAGAACCCUUAAAGAUAGCUGUAUUUUUAAUCUGCUUUUAGAUUAGGUUCAAUAAGAUAAUAAUAAAAUUAGGUAUAAGUUUCUUACUUAGUUUUUGUAUUUACAUAUAUGUUUUCAUAAAAUAGAGAAAGAAUGUUGAUUACGCAAUUCUUAAUAGUAAUAUCAAUUGUACUUUGUUUUACAUAAUUCUAUCAAAGCACUUAAAAAUGGAAACAACUUUAAUAAUAAGAAAUCUUAAACAUUGUGAAUAUACAACGUUGACAUAAA